rnacentral:misc_RNA from 1 species
GUUAAUCAUCAAAUCUUUGAACGCAAAUUGCACUUCUUGGUAUUCCGAGGAGUACACGUGCUUGAGUGUCAGUUGAAAAAAAAUCGUACAGCUUUGUUGUUGCGAAUCUGGUUAUGCCGUUUUUAUAAUUUGGUUACCUAAAAUUAAUAUGGUUAUGUAAUGUUAAUCGUACUAAUUAUAUAGACGCUAAUCAUUUAUUCUUAUUACAUUACAACUUAACGAAAGUAUUUAGUUGGUGUAUAAAUUAUGAGACUGAACUCAAUUCAUGUAAGA